rnacentral:tRNA from 1 species
AAGGGGGAAACUGGUAAAGGAAGAGCUGCUAACUAUUUCCUUAAGCGGUUCAACUCCGUUUUUCCCUUC